rnacentral:tRNA from 1 species
GGGGGUGUAGCUCAGCCCGGUAGAGCGCCUCGUUCGCAACGAGGAGGCCAGGGGUUCAAGUCCCCUCACCUCCA